rnacentral:rRNA from 1 species
GACGAACGCUGGCGGCGUGCUUAACACAUGCAAGUCGAACGAUGAAGCCGCUUCGGUGGUGGAUUAGUGGCGAACGGGUGAGUAACACGUGGGCAAUCUGCCCUGCACUCUGGGACAAGCCCUGGAAACGGGGUCUAAUACCGGAUAUGACCGCCGACCGCAUGGUCUGGUGGUGGAAAGCUCCGGCGGUGCAGGAUGAGCCCGCGGCCUAUCAGCUUGUUGGUGGGGUGAUGGCCUACCAAGGCGACGACGGGUAGCCGGCCUGAGAGGGCGACCGGCCACACUGGGACUGAGACACGGCCCAGACUCCUACGGGAGGCAGCAGUGGGGAAUAUUGCACAAUGGGCGAAAGCCUGAUGCAGCGACGCCGCGUGAGGGAUGACGGCCUUCGGGUUGUAAACCUCUUUCAGCAGGGAAGAAGCGCAAGUGACGGUACCUGCAGAAGAAGCACCGGCUAACUACGUGC